UACGUAGGUGGCAAGCGUUGUCCGGAUUUACUGGGCGUAAAGGGCGUGCAGGCGGUCUGUUAAGUCUAGGGUGAAAGCUCCCGGCUCAACUGGGAGAGGUCCUUGGAUACUGGCGGACUUGAGGGAGGCAGAGGAAAGUGGAAUUCCCGGUGUAGUGGUGAUAUGCGUAGAUAUCGGGAGGAACACCGGUGGCGAAGGCGGCAUCCUGGACCAACACUGACGCUGAGGAGCGAAAGCCAGGGGAGCAAACGGG
rnacentral:rRNA from 1 species